rnacentral:tRNA from 1 species
GGCAGAGUAGUGUAAUGGUUUGAGUGUUGGAUUACAACUCUGCAGACCAGGGUUCAACUCCCCACUUGGCCA